GGACGGAAAGACCCCGUGGAGCUUUACUGUAGCCUGAUAUUGAAAUUCGGCACAGCUUGUACAGGAUAGGUAGGAGCCUUUGAAACGUGAGCGCUAGCUUACGUGGAGGCGCUGGUGGGAUACUACCCUAGCUGUGUUGGCUUUCUAACCCGCACCACUUAUCGUGGUGGGAGACAGUGUCAGGCGGGCAGUUUGACUGGGGCGGUCGCCUCCUAAAAGGUAACGGAGGCGCUCAAAGGUUCCCUCAGAAUGGUUGGAAAUCAUUCAUAGAGUGUAAAGGCAUAAGGGAGCUUGACUGCGAGACCUACAAGUCGAGCAGGGUCGAAAGACGGACUUAGUGAUCCGGUG
rnacentral:rRNA from 1 species